rnacentral:lncRNA from 1 species
UGAAAUUAAGACACAAAAAGGGUGUUUGUCUAAUCAUUUUGAUUGUUUAACUUUUUGUAUUAUUUUUAUCAUAUGUAACAUUAUGCAUCAGCAUCACUUUCAUUUCAUCCAUGGAACUAACUAUGUUGUUUGUCUGAUUGUAUGCAUCUGCAUUAUUUUUAUGAUCAUGUUUUAACACAAUCAUUUGCAUUCAUUUCAUACUAGAUUUCAUUCAGAAAAAUGUACAUUUCAUUUGUGUAUCAAAG